rnacentral:tRNA from 1 species
AACUUUUAUAGGAUAGAAGUAAUCCGUUGGUCUUAGGAACCAAAAAAUUGGUGCAACUCCAG